AUUGAACGCUGGCGGCAGGCCUAACACAUGCAAGUCGAACGGUAACAGGAAGCAGCUUGCUGCUUUGCUGACGAGUGGCGGACGGGUGAGUAAUGUCUGGGAAACUGCCUGAUGGAGGGGGAUAACUACUGGAAACGGUAGCUAUACCGCAUAACGUCGCAAGACCCAAGAGGGGGACCUUCGGGCCCCUUGCCAUCGGAUGUGCCCAGAUGGGAUUAGCUAGUAGGUGGGGUAACGGCUCACCUAGGCGACGAUCCCUAGCUGGUCUGAGAGGAUGACCAGCCACACUGGAACUGAGACACGGUCCAGACUCCUACGGGAGGCAGCAGUGGGGAAUAUUGCACAAAGGGCGCAAGCCUGAUGCAGCCAUGCCGCGUGUAUGAAGAAGGCCUUCGGGUUGUAAAGUACUUUCAGCGGGGAGGAAGGGAGUAAAGUUAAUACCUUUGCUCAUUGACGUUACCCGCAGAAGAAGCACCGGCUAACUCCGUG
rnacentral:rRNA from 1 species